GAUCUUUAUAUAUUAAAUAAUUUAAUAAAAAUAAGUUUAUUUUUUUUUUUAAAUUAUUAAUAUAUUUUAUUGGGGUAAUAAUAAAAUUUUAAUAAUUUUUAUUUUUUAAAUUCAAUAAUAUUUGUUUUAUUGAUCCAUUAAUAUUGAUUAAAAGGUUAAGUUACCUUAGGGAUAACAGCGUAAUGAUUUUUGAGAGUUCUUAUCGAUAAAAUAGUUUGU
rnacentral:rRNA from 1 species